AGAAAUUAGGCUUUGCAGAAAAGCUUUUCCCUCCCUGUGUGAGACCGUGUUAAAAUAAGGAGAUAGAACCAACCAACCCAUCACAGUGCAGAAAAAGGGAGAUUGAGAAGCCCAUAAGGACAGUCAGAAAAUUAGAAUUUCCAAUGAAUUCAUGGCAAAUGGCAAGCAGACCGGCAUAUACUGACAUCCAAAAUUAAGUCAAGAAACCUGUGUCCCAGCAGACAAGUGGGAGGCAGCCAAAGAGCUGGGAGCUAAUCUUUGCAGCCAGCGUCUGACUGCCUUGGGUGUUCUGAACAUGGAACUGAUGUAGGCUGCAGAGGUCAGAGGAGCAGCUGAAGCCUCUUGGCAUGAUGGCCCAAACUGUCGAGUAACAGGUAAAACCCACCUAAUG
rnacentral:lncRNA from 1 species